rnacentral:pre_miRNA from 1 species
UACGUACUUCCUCCGUCCAAAAAUACUUGUCAUCGAAAUGAAUAAAAAAAGAUGUAUUUAGAACUAAAAUACAUCUAGAUACAUCUUCUUUUAUUUAUUUUGACGACAAGUAUUUUCGGACGGAGGGAGUAUUAC